rnacentral:misc_RNA from 1 species
GAAAUGCGAUAAGUAAUGUAAUUGCAGAAUUCCGUGAAUCAUCGAAUCUUUGAACGCACAUUGCGCCCUCUGGCAUUCCGGGGGGCAUGCCUGUCCGAGCGUCAUUACGCACCCUCAAGCCCGGCUUGUGUGAUGGGCCCCGGCGUCUCGUUCGCGAGACGGGCCCGAAAGGCAGCGGCGGCGUCGACCCGAUGAGCCCGAGCGUAUGGGGACUUCUGUCACACGUUCGCGGUGCGGACCGGCGCCUGCUUGACUUUUCUGAUUAUCCAGGUUGACCUCGGAUCAGGUAGGGAUACCCGCUGAACUUAAGC